GGAGAAGGCGCUGAAGCACCUGGAAAUGCACAGCACUGAGAUGCAGCAUGCUUUUACCGCCAGAGUCAGAUGGAUGUUUGUGACUUUGCUGCAGGAAGUGCCUGCCCAGUCCCUGCAGGAUGCACGCAGGGAGGAAGAACCUCCGUUACAGGUUCACCCAAUAGUUUGCCCGAAAAUAGAGCAUGAGCAGCUGUUGGGCCCCAAGGGUGGGCCAGAGACCCCCUACUGUGGUGGAGCACACUUCCUAUGUUGUCUGUGCCCCUGCUAAGUUGUAGGAGUUAAGCAAGUAAUGUUGGCACUCUUGUACAGACUUGGUGCAAGUCAUUUGGGAGAAGGAUGUUGCUGCGCAACCUGGUCCUGCCAGAGUGUUCCAGUUCAAAUAGUACCUGCUGCAGUUGGUGGAAGUAUAAAGCCUUUUCUGUUUGAUAAGAGAACUGGCCAAGGUGCCCGGCUUGGUAGGGGAUACCAGACAACCAAAGGCCAUAUAUGGACUUGGCAAUCCACUGGUCCCUGGACCCGGAUAAGUUUCCAGGGAAGGCUGCAUAGACAGCUAUGAAAGCUGGUCAGUGAAAGUGAAACCUGUGUCUUUGCACCUGGGCAUCAGCUGCUUGGCUCUCCACUUAUGCACUGUGUAUGUCUCUUGCAUGCCUGAGGACAUUCUUGGGGGUGGAUGUUUUGCAAGACUUGGCAGCUGUGCCACCUCUCAUGGACUUGAUGGACCGUUUGACAACAGAACUGGGAUGGUGCCACUGUGUGGUGGACUUGACCAAUGCAUUCUUCUCAAUCAGCAUUGCUCCAGAGAGCCAGGAACAGUUUGCCUUCAUGGGAGGGCGACAAUGGACUUUCAUAGUGUUGCUGCAGGGCUAUAUGUAUAGCCCCAUUAUAUAUCAUUUUCUUAUUAAUGAUGUUAUGUUAACCUCUAGUUCUUUUGCUGGUUUGGAAGCCACAACACCCCUCUUGCCUGGGAUUGGGAUGAUGAGGCUGAAACAGCCCUUCUGAUGACAUAAGCCCUCUGGGUAGUUAACCAGGGUGCCCAUUUAAACUAGAUGUGCAUGUAACCACAAAUAGAGUUGGCUAGGGCCUAUGGCAGUAUAUGGCGUGCUUGGAAGCGCCAGUCAGCUUUUAGUCCCAGCUAUGGAAGGGAGCUGAGCCCCAGUGUUCAUUAAUAAAGAAGCAGUUAGUAACCAUAUAUGCUGCCCUUCAGGUUCAUAAGAGCGUGGCUAGAUGGGUUACAGUCGUGUGGAUGGCUUACCCCAUAGUGGGAUGGGUGCGUUCAUGAGCAAUGACCCCCCCAGACUGGGACAGCACAGACAUCCACUUUAGCGAAGUGGGGCACCUACUUAGAGCAGUGGAGUACGCUAAGUAUAAGUCCCUUAGCAGCAGAGUUGCAAGAGGUCUUGGAACCUGUAGUCCUAAUGCAAGAUAAGGCCAUGGGGCCUGGGGCACCCCUAGACCCUGAGCCUUCACUGUUAGAAAGGGUGUUCUUCCAUUCCUAAUAGGACAUGGUACACAGCUAUGUCUAGUUGUGGUGCCACUGCUGCCUGGACUGCUGGUGCAGUCCAGCCUAGUACUGACACCAUAUGGUUUGAAACCAGGUGUAGACAGCGGGGCAGUCAGGAUUAUCAAUAUCACUGUUUUACAGCUUCACAUCUUAGCUGACUGGAAAGUCUUCCAGGAGCAGUAAUAUGCAUGGAGCUGUCAUCUCCUAUGAUAACAAUGCCUUCUUCUGGAAUACCUUCUGUAGGAUCUGCCUGAGGCUGUUUUACAGUUAACUUUUUUUUAAUAAGUAGAAGUACACUCUAAAAUAUUAAAUUGGUGCAAAAGUAAUUGCCGUUUUUGCCAUUGCAGUUACUUUUGCACCAACCUAAUAACAAUAAAAAGUAAGGUAAAUACACAAACCAGUGAUAUAGUACUUUCCUAUCAAGUAUUAUAUAGUGCUAUUUUUUUUUUUGAGACCGAGUCUCACUCUUUUGCCCAGGAUGCAGGCAGUGGCAUGAUCUUGGCUCACGACAACCUCUGCCUCUCGGAUUCAACCGAUUCUUGUGCCUCAGCCUCCCAAGUAGCUGGGAGUAUAGGUGUGAGCCACCACGCCUGGCUAAUUUUUGUAUGUGGUUUCAUCAUGUUGGCCAGGCUGGUCUUGAACUCCUGACUUCAGGUGAUCCACCCGCCUUGGCCUCCCAAAGUGCUGGGAUUACAAGCGUGAGCCACCACACUAGGCCUUUAGUGCUAUACUUUUAUAUGACUGGCAGUGCAGUAAGUUUGUUUACACCAGUAUCACCACAAACAUAUAAUUGUGCUAUGAUGUCACUAGUUAAUAGGCAUUUUCCAGCUCCAUUAUAAUCUUAUGUGAUCACUGUCAUUUCUGCAGUCCAUUAUUGACCAAAAUGUCCUUGUGUGGUUCAUAACUGUACUCAAAUAUCUACAAAGAGCGUUUCUUCUGGUACCCAGUAAAUAUUUCAUUACUUAAUAUACUCUACCCCCUGCUCCUGCGAACCUCACUCCAUCCUAAGAACAAUCUUCGCAUCUGCCUUUCUGGACUUUCUGCUAUGAACUAAAUAUUUAUUCACCAGAGAAACUGCUGUGUACUAGGUGUUAUGAAAUAUAAAUUUUUUUAUAUCAAAGACAUUGUAUAAUUACAUGAAGACCAAUGGAGUAAUUCAUCUUAAUUCUAAGUAUUAGAAAAGCUUUGUUUUCCUUGAAGAAUGGACAUAUUUUUUUCCUUCUAAAACAAUGUAAGCAAAUGACCUUCUCAUUUUGGUUGCCAGAAUGCUCAGUUUGUGUCCCUAACUGACUGCCUGUGUAAGUUAUCAUAACUUGUCCUGAUCUCCUAGUGCUCAUUUGUAUGUGUUUUUUGUUUUCUAUUUUACUGUAUCUUGUUCGCCAUCUUGAGUCAUUUUUUUACACACAAUGGAGUUAUAAUAAAAUAGCUAUUGCCUAUUAUGAUAAAA
rnacentral:lncRNA from 1 species